AUGGCAGGUAGAAUCUAUUGAUGACAUGGCAGUAAUGGCAGGUAGAAUCUAUUGAUGACAUGGCAGUAAUGGCAGGUAGAAUCUAUUGAUGACAUGGCAGUAAUGGCAGGUAGAAUCUAUUGAUGACAGGUAGAAUCUAUUGAUUACAUGGCAGUAAUGGCAGACAGAAUCUAUUGAUGACAUGGCAGUAAUGGCAGAUAGAAUCUAUUGAUGACAUGGCAGUAAUGGCAGGUAGAAUCUAUUGAUGACAUGGCAGUAAUGGCAGGUAGAAUCUAUUGAUGACAUGGCAGUAAUGGCGGGUAGAAUCUAUUGAUGGCAGGUAGAAUCUAUUGAUGGCAGGUAGAAUCUAUUGAUUACAUGGCAGUAAUGGCAGGUAGAAUCUAUUGAUUACAUGGCAGUAAUGGCAGGUAGAAUCUAUUGAUGACAUGGCAGUAAUGGCAGGUAGAAUCUAUUGAUGACAUGGCAGGUAGAAUCUAUUGAUGACAUGGCAGUAAUGGCGGGUAGAAUCUAUUGAUGGCAUGGCAGUAAUGGCAGGUAGAAUCUAUUGAUUACAUGGCAGUAAU
ensembl:lncRNA